UCCAACUGUUGUGUUAACAUAGAUAACUUUUAUUUAACUUCCCGAUGCGAUUUUGCCUCUCGACAGUCGCUGCUCUCGUCUACCGCUCCCGACGCACGCCCGUGACGUCAUCGCACAGCGACUCUUUGCUGUACACGAUUACACUUCAGAUCGGCGUAAAGCCUUUGAAGAGAAAGUUUAGACACCGAAGCUUUCGUCCAUGUGCUGAUACCAACCUCCCUUCCGGAGAGGUGAAAGAUUCGGGCCUCCUGCAGCAGAGGAAAACUCUCGCCGCAGCUGCCGAUCAGAUCAUCUCCUUCCACCUUGUCCACAAAGUACGCCGGCUCCAACAACGGCAGUCGCACGUACGAAAGCAACCUGGCCAGAUGAUCUCCAGUGAUUCUGCCGUCACAUCCACAAAGUCCUGCUGCCGAAGUACCUGGGAAAAGUGAGAGACGAUGUAGUCCUGACCCUUGGUCUUCAGAGUGGGAAGGGCGUAGCGAUCCGCCAGGUUUAAAACACCAAUGCAAGUAUCCGAGGGAAUGCUUACCUGGAACUGACUGGCUGCUUCCAGUACAUCAUGCACGUUUGACUGAGUGAGGAUGGCCUGGCUGGU